GAGAGGUAAUGGCUCACCAAGGCAUCGACGGGUAGCUGGUCUGAGAGGAUGAUCAGCCACACUGGAACUGAGACACGGUCCAGACUCCUACGGGAGGCAGCAGUGGGGAAUCUUGCACAAUGGGCGCAAGCCUGAUGCAGCGAUGCCGCGUGCGGGAAGAAGGCCUUAGGGUUGUAAACCGCUUUCAGGAGGGAAGAAAAUGACGGUACCUCCAGAAGAAGGUGCGGCCAACUACGUGCCAGCAGCCGCGGUGACACGUAGGCACCAAGCGUUAUCCGGAUUUAUUGGGCGUAAAGAGCUCGUAGGCGGUUUGGUAAGUCGGGUGUGAAAACUCUGGGCUCAACCCAGAGAGGCCACUCGAUACUGCUAUGACUAGAGUACGGUAGGGGAGCGGGGAAUUCCUGGUGUAGCGGUGAAAUGCGCAGAUAUCAGGAGGAACACCAGCGGCGAAGGCGCCGCUCUGGGCCGUAACUGACGCUGAGGAGCGAAAGCAUGGGUAGCAAACAGGAUUAGAUACCCUGGUAGUCCAUGCCGUAAACGUUGGGCACUAGGUGUGGGUCUCAACCAACGAGAUCCGCGCCGUCGCUAACGCAUUAAGUG
rnacentral:rRNA from 1 species